AAAUAAAAAUCGGGGUUGUUGCUGCCUUUAGUGGUGACGCUUCGGAAUUGGGUCGUCUUUGCCUUCGGUUAAGUGACCUAAAAUUUCGUAUGAUUUUUCGAACGUAUUUAAAUUAUUUUACGUACGUUUGUGAUAUCGAAUAUUAGGUGUGGUCAUUUUCGUGAUUCGCGCCUAUAAUUUUUUCAUC
rnacentral:misc_RNA from 1 species